rnacentral:rRNA from 1 species
AUUGAACGCUGGCGGCAGGCCUAACACAUGCAAGUCGAGCGAGCGGCGGUCGUGUGAGUAAUGCCUGUGACUUGCCCAGUCGCGGGGCAUAACAGUUGGAAACGACUGCUAAUACCGCAUCCGAUUUGAUUGCCCAGGUGGGAUUAGCUAGUUGGUGAGGUAAUGGCUCACAAAGGAGACGCUCCCUAGCUGGUCUGAGAGGAUGAUCAGCCACACUGGAACUGAGAAACGGUACAGACUACAACGGGAGGAAGCAGUGGGGAAUAUUGCACAAUGGGGGAAACACGGAUGCAGCCAUGCAGCGUGUGUGAAGAAGGCGUUCGAGUUGUAAAGCACAUUAAGCGAGGAGGCGUUACGCGCAGAAGAAGCACCGGCUAACUCCGUGCCAGCCGCGGCGGUAAGUC